UGAGUUCUGAUUUUGUUAAGUAUAUUUGAAUACUGUGAUUUCUUGAUUUCUGAACUAGCUUUAUGCCACUGCAGGAGAGUUGGUGGUCAUAUUCUUCAACGUCGCAGUGCCUGGAGAUAUUUGCCAAUAUGAGCAUUUAUAUGGAAAGGAAAAAUGACAACCCAGCGUCAGCACCCUAUUUCCAUGGAUAUCGACACAUACAUCCAGAAAAAAUUGAGGAUUUAGGUAGGUAAUGUGAGACAUAGAUUAACAGUUCAACCAGUGCACCGGUAUAUAUAGACAGGUCAGAGAAUUUGAGUUGUUCCUCAAUGCUGAAAGGUUGCAUCUGUUGAGGCAAAGGGCAUAUGCAAAUGAAGCGAUUAAUUCAAACACUUUUCGUCAACUUCAAUUGCUAACUGCAGAAGAACGAUGUCACUUUCUCCAUGGGGGCAGUCAAAAGAACAGCUGUAUUAUAUUUUUCAUUUGGAAGAGGAGUUGCGUCACCUAAGAUGAGAGAAUAAAAGAAUAGAAUUAGACUGUGAUGACAUCAAGCAAUCGCAAAACAAUUCGAUAACUGUGUCGGCGACACGAAACAAGUGCAGAAUGAACGUGUGGGUAUGUGUGGUUCAACCUAGGAAAAAUAGUAGAAACAAGAACUGGAAAUAAACGUCUUUAUUACUGGUCAAAUUUAAAGCUAUUAAAACUUAUGUCCUAUAAAUGACAAAGGCAUGGGACCGAAGGGUGGGUUCUUUGGAUCCAGGACUGCAUUGGUUAUGCCUGCAUUUGACGACGGUCACGACGCCAUAGGAUAUGGUGUGGAUACGUUGUCAUUGUCCCUUGCAGCAUCCGCUUUCAUUAGGCUGGGCUUCUCCUCCGACCUUAUCGAAAAUGAUAGGCCCACGUCAGUACUCGAUGGAUAUUAAAUGUUGCUGCAAUCAUUAUUGACAAACCGAUGUCGUCUUGGAUGGUGCAGAUGAUGCUGUAAACAAGGUCAUCAAGAGGAUUUCAAAAAUGAUGUACAUGACGGGAUAUUCUGUUGAUAUGGCGUUUUAAAUUAAAUUAGUAAGGAUACAAGAAGACUCAAAUGCACUUCUUGAUCGACCAUAGGAUUAACUAAAGUUACUCUCUUCUAAGUCUUGGCCUCAAUAAUAUUCCACAGACAAGUGGAUGACCAACAAUCUAUUGUUUGUGAUUACAUCAUCUAAUGUUUUGCACAUGUCUUCUCAUCUAUUUUUUUAUCCAUUUUUUUUUCUGUUUUUGCUGACUGUUAGGUACCCAGAGAGUCCUUAUUCUAGCACUCGGAGGUGUAGUUCCCAGGGAGGGAGAAGGAAAAUGAGCUUUUUCAAAGAAAUGAUGGUAUGACACAUCAGGUGGGUGCAAAUUUCUUAUUAUGAACAAGAAAACUCAAAACAGAGGUGUGCUUUGAUACUCGGAUUAUGUAUAUUUAUGAUCAAAUUAGAAUGUUCCUUAAUUUAUGGAAGAUUGUUGAUAAGCCAACACAAGGUAA